CACUUGGUGCAGAAGUGCACUGUGGCAUCUCUAGCACCAGGAGGUUGGUGGGGUUGUGCCCCCUGCUUUCCAUUCAGCUGCAGUCCUUCUCUGAUCUUGCAGAGGAGUUUUGUUCAACCCCAGUGGCAGCUAACAUGAAGCAGUUGUUGAAGCAGAACAGAAGAUUGGUUGAAAAUUAGCAAAUGCUUGCUAGUAUUCCAUUCUAAUCUUUAUUUUCUAGUUUGUAUUCUUUAGUUAGUUUAAAACAAGAAGAGAUGUCAAGGUUAGUAUUGUAGCUAUUUUAUAUUAAAAGAAUAAAAAUCCCUUACAACAGAGCUAGGAGUGACCAUAGAAAUGGAAUGAGUGGAAGCGGGGACAGAGGUGCUCGGAACAGCCGGACACAUCAUUGCCUAGAAAGAAUAGGAGAAUAUAAUGAAUUUCAAAUUUCAAAUUUCAAAUUAACCCUAGUUUUAACUAUUUAAAUGUUUUUACUGUCUAAAUGAAAUUAUAUUAGUGAUAUAAGUAAUACAGUGUAGGGGAGAGCCUGCACUACUGCAAAACACAUUUUUCUAAAUGCAUGCAUGCAUUUAAUGAUUUCAUUACAUCUGCAUAUGUAUUUAUUUACAAAAAAAAAAAAAAAAAACAGCAGGAUUUGUCCACCUGCAGGAGAUUUUUUGUGAAAAGUUUUGUGCCAUAUUUUUAUGAAAACUGAUCCCAGAUCACAGCCUGCUUGUGCUUACCUCAUCAACAUCCAUGUGGAUGUCUUGCAGACUCAGGUCCUGGAAGAGGUCCUCAAUGCCAUCUUGGGUGACCUGGGUAAAAAAAAUAAAAAACAAACAAAAAAAACCCACACACACAACUCAUGAGUGAAAGAAUGAAUCUAUGUUUAUUCACUAAUAAAAUGUAAACAAUUUUGAAAAGAGGAUGAAAACUGAUCCCAAAACACAACCUGCUUGUUCUUACCUCAUCAACAUCCAUCUGGAUGUCUUGGUCGCCAAAGGCAGCUUGAGAGACCUGGGGAAAAAACACAACUCAGGAUUAAAAAUGAUUAAAUUAAAUUAUGAAAAAAUAAUUAAAUUAUGCUAGGAACCUGUGGCAUAGACUAAUGGCUAUAUGAGUAUUGAAAGGUAGAAACAAAAAAUUUUUCUACUUCAGCGAAUCCAUUUAUUUUUACUUCUAAGUUUACUUCUAAACUCAUUUACUCUAUAGUCAGUACAUGCAAUUCUAUAGUUUAAGCUUGGUAAACAUGUCUACUUGUAACCUUUAUAACACAGUAGAAUAUUACAAUGAAUAGAGCAUCGAUCUGAUUUAAAAAUGGUAUUAUGAGCACUGUGAAUGUUAGACAAUGUAUAUGUUGCAAAUGAUCUUGACAGAUUAAGCUAGGGAUGCCAGAGUUAUAUGACUAAUUGAUAAACUCCAUGAUACCAUUAUGAUAUAGUUCAAAGCUCGGAGAGCAACACUUAAAGUUUAACAAUAAACUAUCUAUUUAAUGUGUCUGGAUUGGCUGUACUGCUUAUAGACAUUAAAACGUCAGCACAGACAACGCCCAGAUAUUUUGCAUGUGUUUAAUCCUCCUACCAAAAGAGAAUACUUCCUAUUUCCUUCCAACAGACAAAGCUGAAAGGACUUUGAUGCUGUUGGUUUUUUGAAGAGCUUUAUUAUUUUUUUUUUUUUACACACAAUGGAUGAUUGAAGUUUUAUAUUUUUGUAUUUUUUUUUCAGGAGACUAAUAAUGUCUGACUUGUGAGUAUAUUGUUUUUCAUUGUGCUGCAUUUUACAGUCAGUAUGCAUUAUAUUUAUGGUUCUAAGGUUUUAUUUUGUAUGCUUUGUAUUAUUUAUCUUAGGACCUGUGUUAAUUUACCCAGACUAUACUGUUAUUUUUGCUAUUAAUUAGUUAAUUUUUGAAUAAGGUGUGUAAUAGCAGGGAAAACACUAAAAUGUGCAGGAGAAAGCAUACUCCAAGACGAGGGCUGGGAACCUGUGGCGUAGACUAAUGGCUAUAUGAGUAUUGAAAGGAGACUAAUAAUGUCUGACUUGUGAAGGAGCAGGAAGUUGUACUGAACAUUUUAUGAUCAGCAGUGAGAGACACCCAACUUCACUACUAAGAACAAACCACAUGCACCAUAUACAUUCAGGUCCAAAGUGACACAAUUUUUGUAAUUUUGCCUCUGUAUACCACCACAAUGGAUUUGAAAUGAAGCAAUCAAGAUGUGAAUGAUUCUUUAAUUCUUUAACCACUUCUUUAUUACCUCAAGAUGCAAACCACUGGUAACACUCAAGAACAGAAAGGCCAGAUUAGACUUGCUAAAAACAAAAACCCUGCCAUCAUAUUGAUGAUGUGACUGCUGAUAGAAGUAGCAGGAUGAAUUGUGAAAUGUAUAGACCUACUCUUUCUGCUCAGAUUCAGUCAAAUGCUGCAAAAGUGAUAGGACAGUGCUUCACAGUACAGAUGUGUAAUGACGCAAAACAUACCAUGAAAGCAACCCAAGUGCUUCUGAAGGCAAAAAAAUUUAAUGUUCUUAAAUAUCCGAUGAUCUUAACCCAACUGAAGAAGCUUUUCAGAACAUCUCGAAGGAGGAAACUCAUCAUUUGGUGAUGUCCAUGGGUUCCAGAUUUCAGGCAGUCAUUGACUCCAAAGGAUUUGCAUCCAGGUAUUAAAAUUAAUCCUAUUAUUUAUGAUUAUGUUAGUUUGUCCAAUGACUUUUGAGCCUGUGUAAAUGGAGGGAUUCUGCAAAAAAAUGGCUGUAAUUCUUUAAUGGUUAAUGCAAUAUUUUUGUUAAACCCCUUGAAUUAAAGCUGAAAGUCUACACUUCGAUCACAUCUUGAUUGCUUCAUUUCAAAUCCAUUGUGGUGGUGUACAGAGGCAAGAUUACGAAAAUUGUGUCACUGUCCAAAUACGUAUGGAUCUAACUGUAUAUAAUAUAUUCAAAGUUCAGACACUAAUUAACUCACAAACUAUGUUUCUAUUUUCUCUUUUUACUUGUAUGCUGAAUUUAAUAGACAUUAAUAGGAUUGGGACCAGUUGAACUAAAUAACAAGAAAACAUAAAAGUUAAUAUAAAGGUUAUGUAUUGCAUUUUACUGUUUCUUUACUGCUUACAUAGACUAAGUAGACAUUUUCCAUCAAAUUAUUUUCAUGUACUUUUCCAUGUAUUUGAUGUUUUGCUAGUAUAAUCAAGACCUUGUUUACAAUAAAGUAAGAAAUUUUGUUUAAUUAAAAAGGCAAUGCUUCUUCUUUUUUUAAAAAAAAAAUUAAGGUAAAAAUGUUUUCAAGGCCAUCUGGUAUAAAUGGACCAACAGUGCUAAAUCAAGUCAAGUCAAGUUUGUCAUUUCAACCAUAUACAGCCAGUUAGUACAUAGUGAAACGAAACAAUGUUCCUCCAGGACCAAGGUGCUACAUAAGACAAACACAGAACAACACAGAAGUACAAGGGACUACAUGAAUUUAUACAUAAAGUCUACAAGUGCAAACAUGUGCAGACAGCACAAGACAGUACAAUGACUACUGAGAUAGACAAUGGGUGCAGUAAGUCCCAGUGCAGCGCCGACCAGUACACAGUUCUAUUAGAAAGUGAAUCCAGUGACAAUAGUGCAAAAAAAGUACAAUAUAAGUUGCUGUAGGUGUAAACAUAAGAAGUAGCAGCCUAGUAGAGAGUAUAAAUAAAUAUUUGUAGCAGCAUAAUGUAAUCAUGAAGUCCAUCCAUCCAUCCAUCCAUUCUCCAUACCAUUAUCCUACACAGGGUCACGGGGGAGCCUGGAGCCUAUUAUCAUGAUGAUGUCUUACCUCAGAUGAUUGUAGAAAUGUCUUCAAGAUUUAAAUCAUUAAUUACUUCCACUUUUAUUGAAGAAAUAAUUUUAAAAUACGAGUAAAGGAAUUUAUAUGAAAGGUUAAUUCAUGGAAAGGGGUUAUUUCCUGUCACACUCCAUAUACACCGAUCAGCCAUAACAUUAUCACCUGUCUAAUAUUGUGUAGGUCCGUCUUGUGCCACCAAAACAGCUCUGACCCAUUGAGGCAUGGACUCCACAAGACCUCUGAAGGUGUGCUGUGGUAUCUGGCACCAAGAUGUUAGCAGCAGAUCCUUUAAGUCCUGUAAGUUGUGAGGUGGGGCCUCCAUGGAUCGGACUUGUUUGUCCAGCACGUCCCACAGAUGCUCGACUGGACUGAGAUCUGGGGAAUUUGGGGGCCAAAUCAACACCUUGAACUCUUUGUCAUGUUCCUCAAACCAUUCCUGAACAAUUUUUGCAGUGUGGCAGGGCAUAUUAUCCUGCUGAAAGAGGCCACUGCCAUUAGGGAAUACUGCUGCCAUGAAGGGGUGUACUUCGUCUGCAACAAUGUUUAGGUAGGUGGUACGUGUCAAAGUAACAUCCACAUGAAUGCCAGAAUCCAAGGUUUCCCAGCAGAACAUUGCCCAGAACAUCACACUGCCUCUGCUAGCUUGUCUUCUUC